UACGUAGGGCGCGAGCGUUGUCCGGAUUUAUUGGGCGUAAAGAGCUCGUAGGCGGCUUGUUGCGUCGACUGUGAAAACCCGCGGCUUAACCGCGGGCUUGCAGUUGAUACGGGCAGGCUAGAGUUCGGUAGGGGAGACUGGAAUUCCUGGUGUAGCGGUGAAAUGCGCAGAUAUCAGGAGGAACACCGGUGGCGAAGGCGGUUCUCUGGGCCUUACCUGACGCUGAGGAGCGAAAGCGUGGGGAGCGAACAGG
rnacentral:rRNA from 1 species